AGGUGUAGACUAGUGACAAAUAUGAAGGAAGAACUUGAUGUUAAUGUACAAGAUAAAGAACGUUCAAAUGAAAGUGAAGUAUCUUCAGAUGUGAAAGAUGAAAUGAUUAACAGCGAUGACAAUUGCGAAACAGUGAGAAAUUGGGGAGCAACAUGCAGAAGAAGACUCCUAAGCUCCAACUCAGAUACUCUAUCAGAAGAUGAUCUUCCCUCUUUUAUGGAUCUAUCUCAAA